rnacentral:sRNA from 1 species
GCCAGGUAUGAUGGCGCACGCCUGUAAUCCCAGCAGCUUGGGAGGCUGAGGCAGGAGGAUGUCAAGUUCAAAGCCAGCCUCAGCAACUUAGCCAGACUCCUGUCUCAA